GAGGGGGCAGAAGAUGGUUAUUAAAGUGACAGGAUGCAACAAAGACUCAACUAUGCAACAAUCUGAUCCUAAAGGAUGAAAGAGGACAACUGGCACUUGCCACCAAGCAGCAGGACCACAUAGUCUAACGUGCUUAUAAAGAAAUUCAGGGCCACCAGAUACAGUCUUAUGAAGGUGCACUUAAAAGAGUGAUUUCCACCUGGUCUAAAGGAGCAAAAAUUUUAUGAAGUCCAACUACAGCCAGAGAAAGAUGUUUAAAAAUAGAGGAAGAGUUCAACAGUAAAAGUUGAAACUAGACAAGACUCAAAGGCAGAAGGAACUGGUGCCAUUCAAGUGGUCAGACUAGAUGGAUCACUGAAGUGAUGCUGACUUGAAAAACCCCUGAAUGAUCUGCAAGGUGUUGCAGUACAGUGUGCAUGACAGAUCACACCAUGUGGAGCUGUACAUGACCACGUGUGGCUGUACUCACGUAUGAUCCCGUCUGCGUUGUCCACGUGCUUUGGAGCCGAAAGCCAAAUUACUGCAAGAAAUUGAAUUCCCAGAAGUGACUGUAUGAUGGUUUUCUUCAUUACAUCAAAGAAUUGAAGACACAAAGUUUGUGUCUGUUGAAAAUCAUAUUCCAAGACUAGAGUCCUUCACAGCUAUAUGACAUCCAUCUGUUACUAAAAGGUAAACCUAGACUUUGAGGGAAUGCAAAGAGAAACCAUUUUAUUGCAGCAAGGAACCUCAGUCAUAAAACUGACAUGUCGAGGGUGUAUCUGUAGAGUAGUCUCCCUUCAUCUAAACCAGAAUCUUUUCUACCUCAGCAGCAAGAUUCA